AACGAACGCUGGCGGCAUGCCUAACACAUGCAAGUCGAACGAGACCUUCGGGUCUAGUGGCGCACGGGUGCGUAACGCGUGGGAACCUGCCCUUAGGUUCGGAAUAACUCCCCGAAAGGGGUGCUAAUACCGGAUAAUGUCUUCGGACCAAAGAUUUAUCGCCUUUGGAUGGGCCCGCGUUGGAUUAGCUAGUUGGUAGGGUAAAAACCUACCAAGGCGACGAUCCAUAGCUGGUCUGAGAGGAUGAUCAGCCACACUGGGACUGAGACACGGCCCAGACUCCUACGGGAGGCAGCAGUGGGGAAUAUUGGACAAUGGGCGAAAGCCUGAUCCAGCAAUGCCGCGUGAGUGAUGAAGGCCUUAGGAUUGUAAAGCUCUUUUACCCGGGAUGAUAAUGACAGUACCGGGAGAAUAAGCUCCGGCUAACUCCGUG
rnacentral:rRNA from 1 species